rnacentral:rRNA from 1 species
GAUGAACGCUGGCGGCGUGCCUAAUACAUGCAAGUCGAGCGAACGGACGAGGAGCUUGCUCCUCUGACGUUAGCGGCGGACGGGUGAGUAACACGUGGAUAACCUACCUAUAAGACUGGGAUAACUUCGGGAAACCGGAGCUAAUACCGGAUAAUAUAUUGAACCGCAUGGUUCAUUAGUGAAAGACGGUUUUGCUGUCACUUAUAGAUGGAUCCGCGCUGCAUUAGCUAGUUGGUAAGGUAACGGCUUACCAAGGCGACGAUGCGUAGCCGACCUGAGAGGGUGAUCGGCCACACUGGAACUGAGACACGGUCCAGACUCCUACGGGAGGCAGCAGUAGGGAAUCUUCCGCAAUGGGCGAAAGCCUGACGGAGCAACGCCGCGUGAGUGAUGAAGGUCUUCGGAUCGUAAAACUCUGUUAUUAGGGAAGAACAAAUGUGUAAGUAACUAUGCACGUCUUGACGGUACCUAAUCAGAAAGCCACGGCUAACUACGUG